GAUGAACGCUGGCGGCGUGCCUAAUACAUGCAAGUCGAGCGAACAGACGAGGAGCUUGCUCCUCUGACGUUAGCGGCGGACGGGUGAGUAACACGUGGAUAACCUACCUAUAAGACUGGGAUAACUUCGGGAAACCGGAGCUAAUACCGGAUAAUAUAUUGAACCGCAUGGUUCAAUAGUGAAAGACGGUUUUGCUGUCACUUAUAGAUGGAUCCGCGCCGCAUUAUCUAGUUGGUAAGGUAACGGCUUACCAAGGCAACUAUGCGUAGCCGACCUGAGAGGGUGAUCGGCCACACUGGAACUGAGACACGGUCCAGACUCCUACGGGAGGCAGCAGUAGGGAAUCUUCCGCAAUGGGCGAAAGCCUGACGGAGCAACGCCGCGUGAGUGAUGAAGGUCUUCGGAUCGUAAAACUCUGUUAUUAGGGAAGAACAAAUGUGUAAGUAACUAUGCACGUCUUGACGGUACCUAAUCAGAAAGCCACGGCUAACUACGAG
rnacentral:rRNA from 1 species